rnacentral:lncRNA from 1 species
AUCAUAGGCAUUCUUUAACCAGACGGUCAAAUCCUAAUCAAGCUCGUUGUGGAUGCUCUCCAACUUUGCCAUCGGAACUUAGUCAAGCCCAGUGCAAGUGCUCCCUGACUCUCCAAUCAAGUAGAGAUUCUACACUAGCACACGUCUCCCCUUGGCCUUCAGGGAGGCACCGCUCCGAAGAGACAACCUUAAGAGAAAAUUGCAGGAGAUGUAGCAGCAAAUCGAGGCCCUAAAGGGAUGUGCUCAAAUCAAUGAAUUUCAGUUUAACAUGGAUCUAUCAUUUAGCCAGA